GACGAACGCUGGCGGCGUGCUUAACACAUGCAAGUCGAACGGAAAGGCCCUGCUUUUGUGGGGUGCUCGAGUGGCGAACGGGUGAGUAACACGUGAGUAACCUGCCCUUGACUUUGGGAUAACUUCAGGAAACUGGGGCUAAUACCGGAUAGGAGCUCCUGCUGCAUGGUGGGGGUUGGAAAGUUUCGGCGGUUGGGGAUGGACUCGCGGCUUAUCAGCUUGUUGGUGGGGUAGUGGCUUACCAAGGCUUUGACGGGUAGCCGGCCUGAGAGGGUGACCGGCCACAUUAGGACUGAGAUACGGCCCAGACUCCUACGGGAGGCAGCAGUGGGGAAUAUUGCACAAUGGGCGGAAGCCUGAUGCAGCAACGCCGCGUGCGGGAUGACGGCCUUCGGGUUGUAAACCGCUUUCGCCUAUGACGAAGCGUGAGUGACGGUAAUGGGUAAAGAAGCACCGGCUAACUACGUG
rnacentral:rRNA from 1 species